CUUGCUGCUUUACUCCACUUUUCCAAAGGCAGUUCCAGGAGGCGCCCAGCCUGUAAUUUAGGAUGGCACAUACUGUGUGAAAGAGGCUUUGGCACCGGGGCCUACCAGCACAUCAAGGUGAUAUUAACAUAAUAAAACGUUUGGAGAGCGAGUAGGAGCUCAUAAAUUAAUGCAUUCUACUGUUUUAAUGCUAGGAGCUAACAAUGCGUUUCCUGUGCGGCUGAUCGUCCCCGCUGCAGCCUAACAGCUGUUUUAAAGCUUCCAGUUUGGAAGAUGGCCACCACAGAGCUUCCCACCCACAGAAGACAUCCGAUGGAUGCAGAUGCCAACCACACAUGGGGGUUGUGCCCCAAAGACACCGAGGAGUGCCGAGCUGCGGGGGGGCAGGCGGGAAUGCCCAUCUACUGCUGUGCUCCUCAUUGCCAGGUGAUGCUCCUGCUGCCAACCAAAAGGGCACCAAAUCAUCUCCACCCCAACCCAAGCAGCUUCCGAAAGGAUGGUUUCCAAAGCCAAGCUCGCAUUCUGCAUGGCGGUGGCGGCGCAAUUUGUUCCUGUACAAACAAAAGAACCCUGUGCAAUUGCUUACUUUAAUCAUCCCAAGCAUUCAUUAAUGUCUCCAUGUAUUCCCAAAUAUAGCAAAGAAAUGGCUCCCCAAGCCGACCCGCUCCUUCGUUCGCAGCCUUCCCUGUUAGUGCAGCCUUGGAAUAGUGUCUAGGAGGCCACACAGCUUCUUUGGGAAACUGGGAUGUUUGGAACAUGAGUGGAUUCGAGCAUUUCUAAACUUCCCAGAAGAGGCAAAUCGUAAAGGAAUAAACUUCUUUCUGUGCACGCACUUUUGCUUUGGAGCCAAAUGGAAAGGAGAGAUCAGAAAAAAAAAAUGACAAAUUGUUUGGAAAAUAUUGUCCUUCCCAAGACAGACCUAACCAUAUGGGGGGAAGGGACUCAAUACGGAUUUUUUUCCCUUUCAAUUCUAGUCCAGCAGCCCUCCCAUUCACUCCGCUGGGAGGUUUGUGUGAGUCAGACCUGCAAGAUCAUCCAUUCAAGGCCAGUAAUAUUUCCAGCACUUCAGUCCACUCCUAUUCCCUGCUGAAGCAAGAUGGAAAGGGUUCCCCCCCCCACAAAUUUGUGGUGGGAGCGGCAGGAGGGGGCUGAGUGCUCUCCUUGCUGCCUCCCAACUUCUCCCACAGCCCAGCAUCGCUGAAGAUGAGCUGCAGGGAAGGAAAGGGCAAAGCUGCUCCAGCGCUUAGAAAAUGUGUCUAGGAGUUUGUGUGGAUGACUGCAAAAAGCAGAAAGCCUGCUGGAACAUGGAGAAUAAAGCAUGAGGACGGGGAGAAGCCCUCUUUCCAGCCCUGCCCCAGCCUCCUGGUGUGAGCCCAGCGAGGUGCACGAGGUUUUUGUGCCUGCAGCCAACCACCCCCACCUACCCCGGGACGCGCGCAGGUUAAGGCAGGAAUGAGGCAAAUGGAAGAAGCUUUAAAGGAGCAAAAUGUACUGAUGUUUCCAUCAUGCUUGUGAAAGGCUGCUGUAGCAUGCUGGAUCAGUUAGGACAGACCUGGGUUCUUCUUGGACAAAACGAGUGGUACGUUGUUACCUUUGUGGUUAGCUGGAGCACAGAAAAUACUUGUUGUGGCAAAGAAAUCCCUUUAUUUCUUUCAAAUCACUGAAAUUAUCAUCAUUGUCAUCUUCAAGUAAUAAACCAGCUCGAUAUUUAUGCAUGCCCAACUACUAGUGGUGACACACAUGCAACAACAACAAAAAAAGCCGAAGCGGUUGUGUACAUCAGCAAUUAACGGCAGCGUGCGGAGCAUGCAAGACGCUUUGAAGGAGAUGUUGGGAAAGAGACUUUUUUUGUGUGUGGUUGUGUUUAUCCCCUGGUGACAUGCUGCUAACAAGCUGCAAACCAAGGAUCACCCACAACAAACAAAAACAAACAAACAAAGUUUUGUAGAGGGUGGUAAUACUUAGUUUAAUUCUCCGAGGCCUUUAAAAAUAAUUAUAGCCCUGCUUGUGACAACUGGAAGGGCUGCACUUACUCUAAUAAAACUGCUUGUUAUUCUUUAAGAAUGACAUUUGGAGAUGUUUCCUUAUACAAUGUAGACAUUAAUGGGAGGAGAUCUCAAUCAAUGAAAUAUUGAUGCAUUUCUCAUCUUUGCACUAGCAGGAUUUCUGAUGCUGCAGCUUGUGGUCAGCUGUUUACUUGCCAGUUAAAUCACAGCACUUUUAAUGACUUUCUAGAGAUCUGCCUGAGGACUUACUGCCAAAGAACAGGAUCGUGGGGAUUUCGGCAUUACUGAAAAGUUACUCAAGGUCUAGACAUCGAUCCAAGGAUCUCUCUACUACAAUUUUAUUCCAUGCAUUAAAGGGAUGAGCUCCAGGCUGUGAUGGGAGGCAGGAGAGGGGGCUUUGGCCUGGCCCAGCCUCUCCCAUUCCUGACGUGGGAUGGUGCCAUGGAGGAGGACUUCCCCAAGCCAGCCCUGCCUCCUCUCCUGCCGUGGGACGUCCCCGUCGUGUGCUGUUACUGCUGUAUCUGCUAUGAUUGAUGACUUCCAAAGUUGCUCUAAAACUAUCCGAGUGCCUGCUGAGCCAUCUGAAACUCAUCUCCACUCUGUGCAUGGGUCCCCAGCACUCAUUUUUCAGGUGACCAUGCUGGCCUGGGAGUGGAAAUGAGGAAAGCACACAUUACUUGGCAGGAGCUCCGUACCGAGAAGCGAGACGGACGGCGCUUUCUGGCAGCGUGCGCGGGGCCUCAUGCAAAUGAAAACUGAUGGCUUA